AUUGAACGCUGGCGGCAGGCUUAACACAUGCAAGUCGAGCGGGGUGAUGGUGCUUGCACUAUCACUUAGCGGCGGACGGGUGAGUAAUGCUUAGGAAUCUGCCUAUUAGUGGGGGACAACAUCUCGAAAGGGAUGCUAAUACCGCAUACGUCCUACGGGAGAAAGCAGGGGAUCACUUGUGACCUUGCGCUAAUAGAUGAGCCUAAGUUGGAUUAGCUAGUUGGUGGGGUAAAGGCCUACCACGGCGACGAUCUGUAGCGGGUCUGAGAGGAUGCUCCGCCACACUGGGACUGAGACACGGCCCAGCGUCCUACGGGAGGCAGAGGUGGGGAGUAUUGGACAAUGGGGGGAACCCUGAUCCAGCCAUGCCGCGUGUGUGAAGAAGGCCUUAUGGUUGUAAAGCACUUUAAGCGAGGAGGAGGCUCUUUUGGUUAAUACCCAAGAUGAGUGGACGUUACUCGCAGAAUAAGCACCGGCUAACUCUGUGCCAGCAGCCGCCGUAA
rnacentral:rRNA from 1 species